AUACGGAGGGUGCAAGCGUUGUUCGGAAUUACUGGGCGUAAAGCGAGUGUAGGCGGCUUCGUUAGUCGGAUGUGAAAUCCCAGGGCCCAACCCUGGAACUGCAUCCGAUACUGCGAAGCUAGAGUCCUGGAGAGGAUGGCGGAAUUCCGGGUGUAGAGGUGAAAUUCGUAGAUAUCCGGAGGAACACCAGUGGCGAAGGCGGCCAUCUGGACAGUGACUGACGCUGAGAUUCGAAAGUGUGGGGAGCAAACAGGAUUAGAAACCCUGGUAGUCC
rnacentral:rRNA from 1 species